rnacentral:rRNA from 11 species
GCUUGCCAGAUCCUGGCCUGUUUUUGAGGCAUCAGAUCAUAUAUUACUUUGGAAGCCAAGCACAAUCUGCUCUGGUUAGUACUUGGAUGGGAGACCACCAAUGAACGGCAGGUUUUGUAAGCU